UACGGGGGGGGCAAGCGUUGUUCGGAAUUACUGGGCGUAAAGGGUUUGUAGGUGGCUUGCUAAGUCAGACGUGAAAUCCCUCAGCUUAACUGGGGAACUGCGUCUGAGACUGGCAAGCUUGAGUGCAGGAGAGGAACGCGGAAUUCCAGGUGUAGCGAUGAAAUGCGUAGAUAUCUGGAGGAACACCGGUGGCGAAGGCGGCGUUCUGGACUGCAACUGACACUGAGGAACGAAAGCCAGGGGAGCAAACGGG
rnacentral:rRNA from 1 species